UACAGAGGGUGCAAACGUUGUUCGGAUUUACUGGGCGUAAAGCGCGUGUAGGCGGCUUUGCAAGUCGGAUGUGAAAGCCCACGGCUCAACCGUGGAAGUGCAUCCGAAACUGCAUGGCUCGAGUCUCGGAGAGGAAGGUGGAAUGCUUGGUGUAGAGGUGAAAUUCGUAGAUAUCAAGCAGAACACCUGCGGCGAAGGCGGCCUUCUGGACGAUGACUGACGCUGAGACGCGAAAGCGUGGGGAGCAAACAGG
rnacentral:rRNA from 1 species